rnacentral:rRNA from 1 species
GUGAUUAGGCAAAUCCGGUCACUUAAUGCUGAGAUGUGAUGACGAACCACCAAGGUGGUGAAGCAAUUGAUGCCCCGCUUCCAGGAAAAGCCUCUAAGCUUCAGGUUACCAACAAUCGUACCCCAAACCGACACAGGUGGUCAGGUAGAGAAUACUCAGGCGCUUGAGAGAACUCGGGUGAAGGAACUAGGCAAAAUGGUGCCGUAACUUCGGGAGAAGGCACGCUGGCGGUAGGUAAAGUCCCUUGCGGACGGCGCCCAAGCCAGUCGAAGAUACCAGCUGGCUGCAACUGUUUAUUAAAAACACAGCACUCUGCAAACACGAAAGUGGACGUAUAGGGUGUGACGCCUGCCCGGUGCUGGAAGGUUAAUUGAUGGGGUCAGCCGUAAGGCG